rnacentral:rRNA from 1 species
GAUGAACGCUGGCGGCGUGCCUAACACAUGCAAGUCGAACGAAGCUUGACGGAUGAUUUCUUCGGAAUGAAACCAGAUAUGACUUAGUGGCGGACGGGUGAGUAACACGUGAGCAACCUGCCUUUCAGAGGGGGAUAACGGCUGGAAACGGUCGCUAAUACCGCAUGAUGUGUUCGGAUGGCAUCAUCUGAACAUCAAAGAUUUAUCGCUGAAAGAUGGGCUCGCGUCUGAUUAGAUAGUUGGUGGGGUAACGGCCUACCAAGUCUACGAUCAGUAGCCGGACUGAGAGGUUGAACGGCCACAUUGGGACUGAGAUACGGCCCAGACUCCUACGGGAGGCAGCAGUGGGGAAUAUUGCACAAUGGGGGAACCCUGAUGCAGCAACGCCGCGUGAAGGAUGACGGUUUUCGGAUUGUAAACUUCUUUUCUUAGUGACGAAGACAGUGACGGUAGCUAAGGAAUAAGCAUCGGCUAACUACGUG